rnacentral:rRNA from 1 species
AUUGAACGCUGGCGGCAUGCCUUACACAUGCAAGUCGAACGGCAGCACGGGUGCUUGCCCCUGGUGGCGAGUGGCGAACGGGUGAGUAAUACAUCGGAACAUGUCCUGUAGUGGGGGAUAGCCCGGCGAAAGCCGGAUUAAUACCGCAUACGAUCCACGGAUGAAAGCGGGGGCCCUUCGGGCCUCGCGCUAUAGGGUUGGCCGAUGGCUGAUUAGCUAGUUGGUGGGGUAAAGGCCUACCAAGGCGACGAUCAGUAGCUGGUCUGAGAGGACGACCAGCCACACUGGGACUGAGACACGGCCCAGACUCCUACGGGAGGCAGCAGUGGGGAAUUUUGGACAAUGGGCGAAAGCCUGAUCCAGCAAUGCCGCGUGUGUGAAGAAGGCCUUCGGGUUGUAAAGCACUUUUGUCCGGAAAGAAAUCCUUGACUCUAAUACAGUCGUGGGAUGACGGUACCGGAAGAAUAAGCACCGGCUAACUACGUG